rnacentral:rRNA from 1 species
UACGAAGGGGGCUAGCGUUGUUCGGAAUUACUGGGCGUAAAGCGCACGUAGGCGGACUAUUAAGUCAGGGGUGAAAUCCCGGGGCUCAACCCCGGAACUGCCUUUGAUACUGGCAGUCUCGAGUCCGGAAGAGGUGAGUGGAAUUCCGAGUGUAGAGGUGAAAUUCGUAGAUAUUCGGAGGAACACCAGUGGCGAAGGCGGCUCACUGGUCCGGUACUGACGCUGAGGUGCGAAAGCGUGGGGAGCAAACAGG